GUCUCAGGCUAACAAUAGACAUCCUGGUAGUUUGGGUGGAAAUAGCUAACCCCAUCAGAGGCUAAGUAUUGACAUGGGCACUGUACCCCCAGAAACCCAGGCAAACUAUGAUCAGGGAAACUCCAUUGCCCUUGCAUCCUUGUGACUCUUAACCUAGAAACACCCAAUGACCCCACCCAGGGUCCUGAGAUGUUUACCCUCUUUUGUCCUCUAGAUUUAAGGUGGACAAAGAAAUGAAUCUUUAUGCCUCCAGGCAGACCCCAGUCAGAUGACCAUCCCACCAAAUGCCUGAGGGACUAAUACUCUGGUUUUGUCCACACUAGGACAUAGCAUCUAAAGAGUAUAUAAACCCCAGAACUGAUGUCGUCUGGGGGACAGCCUCUCCAUCCAUGCUGUCCCCAUAGAGGAACAGCCUUUCCUUUCAUGCUGUCCUCCCAAGGAACUGCUCCCCAUCUUGCUGUUCUACCUUGCUAUCCUCCUGGCCACUCUCAACAUUACUUUCUAAAUUAAUAAAUCUCUUUUUGUUUUUAAGCCAAGUUUUGGAGUCAUUGCAUGCUUGCAAAAGGUAUCGUUCCCAAACCCCAAGGGUAUCCUUCCAUGCCCAUAAUAUUUUGACGCCCAACGUGGUUUUUGGCUCUCCUGAAAGCUACUCCUGUACCCCGGAUCAUCCACGAGGACACAGCUUCUCAGCCAUCUGCUUCAGACGUUCUUGAUUCAAUAUCGCUCACCUGGUCCCAGCCCUUCCCGCCUGGCCUGGCUUGGCCUAGCUCCUAUUGCCUGCUUCUGUGCUCCUGAAAUCCAGACCUGUUUGACCCAGAUCUGCUCUCCUGGUCCCAACCUGCCCACAACUCUGGCCUCAGAGCAGAUCGCUCAUCACCCAGGCCCAGGACUCACUUCCACCAGCUGGUAAAACAAGGGUGAUUUUUCUUAUCCUCCAUGUGUACUGGGGGCAGGGGAUCACAAGUGGGGAAAAAGAGAAGGAAGAGACUUUUCUAAACAGGAACUUACAAGCAUGGCUGCUUUAAAAGGAUAUCUUUUGACUGCAUUGAUUCGUUUACUUAGCUCACCUGGGAGUCAGGAGAGAAUUUCAAUUCCCUGCAAUUCUUUGGCCCAAUUUGAGAUUAAAAAAAAAAAAAGCACCCUCACAAUGG
rnacentral:lncRNA from 1 species